rnacentral:rRNA from 1 species
AUUGAACGCUGGCGGCAGGCCUAACACAUGCAAGUCGAGCGAGCGGCGGACGGGUGAGUAAUGUCUGGGAAACUGCCUGAUGGAGGGGGAUAACUACUGGAAACGGUAGCUAAUACCGCAUACCAUCAGAUGUGCCCAGAUGGGAUUAGCUAGCAGUGGGGGGAAUGGCUCACCUAGGCGACGAUCCCUAGUUGGGCUGAGAUGAUGACCAGCCAACCUGGAACUGAGACACGGUCCAGACUCCGACGGGAGUCAGCAGGAGGGAAUAUUGCACAAUGGGCGCCAUCCUGAUGCAGCCAUGCCGCGUGUAUGAAGAAGGCCUUCGGGUUGUAAAGUACUUUCAGCGGGGAGGCGUUACCCGCAGAAGAAGCACCGGCUAACUCCGUGCCAGCAGCCGCGGUAAUAC